UCCACUACUCAGUUGGUAGAGUACAAAGCUUUUAACCUUAUGGACGUGGGUUCAAGCCCCGUGGUGGAG
rnacentral:tRNA from 1 species